AGAGUUUGAUCCUGGCUCAGGAUGAACGCUAGCGGCAGGCUUAAUACAUGCAAGUCGAGGGGCAGCAGCUUUAUAGCAAUAUAGAGGCUGGCGACCGGCAAACGGGUGCGGAACACGUACACAACCUUCCUUGAAUAGGGGGAUAGCCCAUAGAAAUGUGGAUUAAUACCCCGUAAUAUAGCGGUGUGGCAUCACACUGUUAUUAUAGUUUCGGCGAUUCGAGAUGGGUGUGCGGCUGAUUAGGUAGUUGGCGGGGUAAAGGCCCACCAAGCCUUCGAUCAGUAGCUGAUGUGAGAGCAUGAUCAGCCACACGGGCACUGAGACACGGGCCCGACUCCUACGGGAGGCAGCAGUAAGGAAUAUUGGUCAAUGGACGCAAGUCUGAACCAGCCAUGCCGCGUGAAGGAUGAAGGUCCUCUGGAUUGUAAACUUCUUUUAUAGGGGGCGAAAAAAGGUCUUUCUAGAUCACUUGACAGUACCCUAUGAAUAAGCACCGGCUAACUCCGUGCCAGCAGCCGCGGUAAUACGGAGGGUGCAAGCGUUAUCCGGAUUCACUGGGUUUAAAGGGUGCGUAGGCGGGUAGGUAAGUCAGAGGUGAAAUCCUGGAGCUUAACUCCAGAACUGCCUUUGAUACUAUCUAUCUUGAAUAUGGUGGAGGUAAGCGGAAUAUGUCAUGUAGCGGUGAAAUGCAUAGAUAUGACAUAG
rnacentral:rRNA from 1 species